rnacentral:rRNA from 1 species
CUGCUAAUACCGCAUGAUACCUGAGGGUCAAAGGCGACAAGUUCGCCUUAGGAGGAGCCUGCGUCUGAUUAGCUUGGUUAGGUGGGGUAAAGGCCUACCCAAGGCGACGAUCAGUAGCUGGUCUGAGAGGAUGAUCAGCCACAUUGGGACUGAGACACGGCCAAACUCCUACGGGAGGCAGCAGUGGGGAAUAUUGGACAAUGGGCGCAAGCCUGAUCCAGCAAUGCCGCGUGGGUGAAGAAGGUCUUCGGAUUGUAAAGCCCUUUUGGCGGGGACGAUGAUGACGGUACCCGCAGAAUAAGCUCCGGCUAACUUCGUG